UGUUACUUCCCAGCUGUCCUCGCUGCACAUGUUGUAUAUUUUUCAUUUAUAAAUUUCCCUAAUUAUUGAUAGAAAGAGCAACCGUUAAUAUAUGUUCUUCUUUAAGUCUAGCAAUACUUUCUAUUCUCCUCUCUAAAAGAAUGUGCUUCUAUGCAGGCCAUCACUUGAUAGUGUUCAUCUCUACAUGUUGAUGUAGUUCAUGGUCUAAAUUUUUACCACUGGGUGGCUUUUCUAUGUCGAUGUAGUUCAUAGUCGUUUUCUAUUUGACAUUUCCAGUUAUUUCAUUUGUCUUAAAAACAGGUUGCGGAGAUGACUCCCUCAGACGCCGACAAAGGUUGUAAAAAUUAGGAUUUAUCCGUGUGCAGAGAGGUCUAUAAAGUCGUCUCCUCAGGUUGAAUCGGAAGAGGUUGGUCAUCUCUUAUGGUCUUGGUUCAUCUGUAGCUGAUAAUCCGAACAAGCCAGCUGAACCAUCUACCAUGGUUUGGACAGAUAAGAGGCGCAGACGGCAUCGCAGAAAGCUCAGGCGGAUGGACAAAGCAAGAAGAAGAAAACAUGGACUAAUCUGAAAAGGAUAUUCGUAGAUUUUUUUUGCAAUAUUUGGAUAUUCUUGGAAGUUUUUGUGAGGAGUAAAUAAGGAAUUAAGUGUGGCAUCUACUUUUGACUGUAGAGUAAAUGGUGAACCUAUGUUCAUGGUAUUGAGGAGAAACAAAGUAUGUUCUCUUUGUGAUUGGUUUGCUGUCUUGAACUUAG